UACGAAGGGGGCUAGCGUUGCUCGGAAUCACUGGGCGUAAAGGGUGCGUAGGCGGGUCUUUAAGUCAGGGGUGAAAUCCUGGAGCUCAACUCCAGAACUGCCUUUGAUACUGAAGAUCUUGAGUUCGGGAGAGGUGAGUGGAACUGCGAGUGUAGAGGUGAAAUUCGUAGAUAUUCGCAAGAACACCAGUGGCGAAGGCGGCAUCCUGGACCGAUAUUGACACUGAGGAGCGAAAGCCAGGGGAGCAAACGGG
rnacentral:rRNA from 1 species